rnacentral:rRNA from 1 species
AACGAACGCUGGCGGCAUGCCUAACACAUGCAAGUCGAACGAGACCUUCGGGUCUAGUGGCGAACGGGUGCGUAACGCGUAAGAACCUACCUAUCGGAGGGGGAUAACAUUGGGAAACUGUUGCUAAUACCCCAUAAAAGCUGAGGAGUGAAAGGUUAAAACCGCCGAUAGAGGGGCUUGCGUCUGAUUAGCUAGUUGGUGGGGGUAAUGGCCUCCCAAGGCCACGAUCAGUAGCUGGUCUGAGAGGACGAUCAGCCACACUGGGACUGAGACACGGCCCAGACUCCUACGGGAGGCAGCAGUGGGGAAUUUUUGGACAAUGGGGGGCAACCCUGACGGAGCAAUACCGCGUGAGGGAAGAAUGCCUAUGGGUUGUAAACCUCUUUUUUUCAGGGAGGAUAAAAUGACGUGUACCUGAAGAAUAAGCAUCGGCUAACUCCGUG